GACGAACGCUGGCGGCGUGCCUAAUACAUGCAAGUAGAACGCACAGUUUAUACCGUAGCUUGCUACACCAUAGACUGUGAGUUGCGAACGGGUGAGUAACGCGUAGGUAACCUGCCUGGUAGCGGGGGAUAACUAUUGGAAACGAUAGCUAAUAUCGCAUAAUAUUAAUUAUUGCAUGAUAAUUAAUUGAAAGGUGCAAUUGCACCACUACCAGAUGGACCUGCGUUGUAUUAGCUAGUAGGUGAGGUAACGGCUCACCUAGGCGACGAUACAUAGCCGACCUGAGAGAGUGAUAGGCCACACUGGGACUGAGACACGGCCCAGACUCCUACGGGAGGCAGCAGUAGGGAAUCUUCGGCAAUGGACGAAAGUCUGACCGAGCAACGCCGCGUGAGUGAAGAAGGUUUUCGGAUCGUAAAGCUCUGUUGUAAGAGAAGAACGGGUGUGAGAGUGGAAAGUUCACACUGUGACGGUAUCUUACCAGAAAGGGACGGCUAACUACGUG
rnacentral:rRNA from 1 species